UACUAGAAUCAGAGCGCUCCAUCAAUGGCCUCUUCCCUUUUGAGUGUUCGUUGCCGAAAUCAAACGGAUCAUUACCAGGCAAUCGGAGAGCAGAAUCGAAAGAAGUAUCUCGCCUCGUCUCGGUGAUGCAAAUAGAGAAGAGAGCAGGACGACGAACUCUUAUGUCAUCGAGUUUUGUUCCGAUAACAGAGAGGGGAAGAACAAGGCAGUUGUUCUUGAUGAAGUGAUUGCUUGGGCAACAGAAAAGCAGUUCGUCUUGUCAUUGAGGCUGGUUGGAUUUUCGCAUCUGCUAGGAAUACUGGUAGAAGAAAGAAUUUGAUCAGCUGAAGAGGAGAAUGGCAAAGUCUAAGAAAUAAUUUGGUCUGCUGAAGAGGAAAAGGUAAGAGUCUAAAAAAGAUGUAAGCAUCUGAUGUGAGUGAAUUUAAAAUGAUCUUGUUGCUUAAGAAGUUUUUGUGUCUUACUAGCUUGCUUCAUUGGAAAUUAUUAUAUGACUGCAAGUCACCUGACAAGGUGCAAAAAUGUUUGAAUGAGAUUUGGCAAUUGAAUAACACUAUAUCAGGAAGAGGGAUCACACAAAGGAAGUUUUUUGAUUAAGGAAUGAGGGAUCACACUAAAGUGAAGAAUUGUUUGAUUAAGGAAUGAGGGAUCACACAAAGGAAGUUUUUUAAAUUUUAGAGGAAGGAAGCACUCGAAAAAAAGAUUUGCUUCAUUGAUUGGUGAUAAAGAAAAGUUAAAAUGUAUUUGGUCUAUAAAUUUGUUAAUGGACAAUUUUUUGGAUAUUUUUAGUUUGUGAAAGUUAUGUGUGUAAGGAAGGAAAGAACAAAAGUUUGGAUACAAGAAUUGUGGGUUAAAGUAGUAUGAGAAUGGUGGAUCAAGGACUAUUCACUUUCAUAAACGUUAUGACCGAAAAUGGAAGUUUGUUCAAAUUGGAGAUUUGAAAAGCUUAUUUUGGAACCAAGAAAUAGGAUGUCAUAUGCCAUGAGAAGUAGCAAAGAACUUGAAUCAAGGACAUGGAAGUGAAGAAUUGUUGGAAUCAAGGAAUGAGGGAUUACAAGAAUGAUGGUUAUGUAUGUAAAGAAGGAAGGACGAUAAAUUUGGACUUUCAAGUUUUUGAUUAUGGACAAUCUUUUGGAGCCUUUUAGUUUAAUGGUUGGAUAUGAAAGGACGAAGGGAAGAUAAGUUUGGAUACAAGAAUUUUUGUUUAAAGCAUAAGAUUGGACUUGCAUUUUUUUAAUUUUUUUAUUAGUUGUUCUUUGGAUCCAUAAUAAUUUUUGAAGUAGUCUAAUGAGGUUUAAUUUGAGGGAAGUGAAUCUAAGUACUAUAACGAGGAAAUGGAGUAUAAUGAGGAAAUAGAGUAAAAGAAUUUUCUUAAAGAAAAGUUUUGAGUGUAUUUGGUCUAUAAAUUAGGUAAUGGUCAAUUUUUUGGAUCUUUUGAGUUUGAUAGUUACGUAGGUAAGGAAGAUGAAUUUGAAUAUGGGAGAUGUGAGUAUAAGAUUGGACUCCCUAGAUAAUCUUUUGGAUUUUUUUUGUUUAAUGGUUAUGCAUGAAAGGACGGAAGAUAGAUAAGUUUGGAUACAAGAAUUUUGGUUUAAAAUUUGAGAUUGAACUUCAAAUUUUGAUAGAUGAUUUCUCGUCAUUCUCGGGAUAAAAAAUUAUGUUUGAGUUAAUAUUGUCCAAUGAAAUUUUAUUUGGGGCAAGUGAAUAAAUUGAUAUGAUGAUGAAAUAAGGUACUCUCUUCGAACUGUCUAUAGGAGCUUCGUUGAAGAAAUAAAUGAGAUGAUAUCCUUAUUUAAAGAGGAAAAAGAUCCACUUAGUGUGGUAGACGGAGGACUAUAUUUUUUAAUAGACAAUAAUUUCUAAGGACAAUUGGAGAGCAAAGAAUUAAUGGAAUCAAAGAAGACGGGAUAGCCGAAGGAAGUUUGUCAAAUUUUAGGGAAUAGGAAACACUAAUAAAAGAAUUUGCUUAAUUGGUUCUAAACAGUAAAAUUAUUGGACGUUGAAGCAAAGGUAGGCUGUGCAAUAUCUCUCGAUGCUUAUGGAAAAUAAGAAAUAUAAAGGCCAAUUAGUAGGAGAUUUCGGCAAUAUCUUCCUGAAGACGAAUGUUGCAAAAUGUGAGCAUCAUAAGGUUUUUGCAACUGUAACCUGCCAAGCAAAACAAGUGAUCCUUGCAGCCGCUCAAGGUUUUAGUCCUUACUUUUAUUUCAUUCUUAUUUAUGUGAAAGUAAUUAGUUUGAAGUCCUCUUAACUGUCAUAGGUUUGGUUACAAAACCACACAAAUAAUUAAAAGUUGUGAGAGAAUGGAUUUAAGUGGUCAAAGAUUAUACGUUUAAAAAUUUAACAAAAAGAAUAAAGAAUCAUGUGUUUGACUUAAAAAUAAUUAAGGCUAAUAUUUACAAUCGAAGAGAGAGGAGGAAGGAGUGGUUAUUAAAGACGGUAAGAGAAAAUAUCUAUGAAAAUGAAAGCUUAGCAUUUAUUAUUUGACUGUCAUGUUCGAAAAUAUUAAAGAUCAAUGGGGCCAUGACAGCAAUUUCUCUGACAAUUAGACCCAACAAAGUCCUUAAACACUUGGCCGACUUCUUUGACUCUUAAUUCCUCCUCAUAUCUUCAAGUUUAGUUAAGCUGUAAUUUUCCUAUAAAUCAACCAAUAGAACUAGCACUUAAAACUAGCUCGAGUCCUCAAGAAUGGUGUCCCUGAAGAUGAUUUCCUUUGUGUUGAAGCUCCUAGUUUGCUUUGCAUUGCUUCUGAUUGCCUCGCCCAUUUCUGCAAUGGACAAUACUCCUCGUAUUCGUAAGAUGGGGAUGGAGUACAAGCUUGUUGGAAAGGCUGUGGUGGUAGCAAAACCAGUGAGACAAUUGUCUGCUGAUUCCCCAUGGGGUGGUGGUUAUCACAUCCCUUAGUUGAUGACAUUACUUUUCAACUGCUUUCAGCUGUGCCUUUUUCCUUUGUGUUUAUAGGCUUUUUGGGAGAAUCAAUCUUAAAUAAAGCUACAAAUGUAUUUGUACGACUCUUUUCAAAUACUUUGGUUUUGCCUCAAUGUUCAAGCUCUUCCUUUCUUGAUUGGGUA